CUGGUUACAACUUGUCCCCAAAAGAUAUCUGCCAUGAGCUUCUUGAGGACCAGGCUUAGGUGCAUCUUAUGGGCCGGUAUGUCUUAUAGGGCGAAAAAUACGGAACUCAAGCAAGCCUCCUCCUCCUUCUCACUGUCCUUGUUAUGCCAGGAUCCUUCCUGCUUUGCCCUGUCUGCAGUAGGAUAAAAAGAUCAUGAAGCCCCGAUCCUUUGUUAAGUCCGCCCCCUCAGUCGACCACCACCCGAAGAUGGAAGAGAUCAGCAGGAGAUUAACAUUUGUGUUCUCUUCAUGAUUUAAGACUGUUUUCUUUCAUCAGGAUCUUGCAAAAAAUUCUUCAGACAGUGGUUAGCACUGUUGCCUUGCAGCGCUGGGGUCCUGGGUUUGAAUCCACCCAAGGACAACAUCUGCAUGGAGUUUGUAUGGUCUGCCCAUGAUUGCGUGGGUUUCCUCCGGGUACUCAGGUUUCCUCCCUCACUCCAAAGAAAUACUAAUAGGGACCUUAGAUUGUGAGCCCUAAUGGGGAGA